GAUGAAGAACGUAGUGAAAUGCGAUAAGUAGUGUGAAUUGCAGAAUUCAGUGAAUCAUCGAAUCUUUGAACGCACAUUGCGCCCCUUGGUAUUCCAUGGGGCAUGCCUGUUCGAGCGUCAUUUGUACCUUCAAGCUUUGCUUGGUGUUGGGUGUUUGUCUCGCCUUUGCGUGUAGACUCGCCUUAAAAUAAUUGGCAGCCGGCGUAUUGAUUUCGGAGCGCAGUACAUCUCGCGCUUUGCACUCAUAACGACAGCGUCCAAAAGUACAUUUUACACUCUUGACCUCGGAUCAGGUAGGGAUACCCGCUGAACUUAAGCAUAUCAAUAACGGAGGA
rnacentral:misc_RNA from 1 species